rnacentral:sRNA from 1 species
CUAAUUAAAGUUUGAGCCAGAUUAUAUGUGUAGAGACCAAGUUCCUUUACAGUUGUAUUUCAUGAUGGACGAAAUGCAUAUAAAAAUUAUAUAUAGGACUAUGGUCCCCAAUUCAUAUGUGGCUCUCAUUAAUUGUGUUAUCCCAUCAACACAAGAAUACAAGAAAAAACAUAUUGAAGAAGAAGAUCCCAAACUCACAAUCAAGAUCAACUAUCAAGAAUCAAGAAGAAGGCAUUCAAGAAUCAAGACUACAGAUCAAGAAGCAGAAUCAAGAAAAAGAAUUAAAGUACCAAAAUAGACAAAAUUCAAGAUUAAAAAUGAAGAAGCCAAACAUUAAAAGAUUGAUCUUCAAGAUUCAAGAUCAAGAAUCAAGAUCCAAAAUAAAAGAAUUAUUCCCAAUAAAUUAAAGCAUGUUCCGCAUUAUUAAUUUUCUUGGAGAUUUGACAUGAAAGAUUUUGGCAAUAAAAAUAAUUAGGUUUUCAUAUCUCAAGAUUUAAAGUUUAUUAAAAUUCUAAUAAUUUAUUCUCACGACCUGGAAUAUAGAAUUUUCACAUUUCCAAAUCUAGGAACUAAGAAUUACUCCCCCAUUGGUAUAUUUCUAUUUUGCAACUUCUCUUAAUUCUCUCAAAAAAUUAAACA